AGUGAACGCCGGCGGUAGGCCUAACACAUGCAAGUCGAACGGCAGCACAGUAAGAGCUUGCUCUUACGGGUGGCGAGUGGCGGACGGGUGAGGAAUACAUCGGACUCUACUUUUUCGUGGGGGAUAACGUAGGGAAACUUACGCUAAUACCGCAUACGACCUACGGGUGAAAGCAGGGGAUCUUCGGACCUUGCGCGAUUGAAUGAGCCGAUGUCGGAUUAGCUAGUUGGCGGGGUAAAGGCCCACCAAGUCGACGAUCCGUAGCUGGUCUGAGAGGAUGAUCAGCCACACUGGAACUGAGACACGGUCCAGACUCCUACGGGAGGCAGCAGUGGGGAAUAGUGGACAAUGGUCGCAAGCCUGAUCCAGCCAGACCGCGUGUGUGAAGAAGGCCUUCGGGUUGUAAAGUCCGUUUGUUGGGAAAGAAAAGCAGCAGGUUAAUACCCCGCUGUUCUGACGGUACCCAAAGAAUAAGCACCGGCUAACUUCGUG
rnacentral:rRNA from 1 species